GGGUUGUGAGGUUAAGCGACUAAGCGUACACGGUGGAUGCCCUGGCAGUCAGAGGCGAUGAAGGGCGUGCUAAUCUGCGAUAAGCGCCGGUAAGGUGAUAUGAACCGUUAUAACCGGCGAUACCCGAAUGGGGAAACCCAGUGUGAUUCGUCACACUAUCAUUAACUGAAUCCAUAGGUUAAUGAGGCGAACCGGGGGAACUGAAACAUCUAAGUACCCCGAGGAAAAGAAAUCAACCGAGAUUCCCCCAGUAGCGGCGAGCGAACGGGGAGGAGCCCAGAGCCUGAAUCAGCAUGUGUGUUAGUGGAAGCGUCUGGAAAGGUGCGCGAUACAGGGUGACAGCCCCGUACACAAAAGCGCAUGUGCUGUGAGCUCGAUGAGUAGGGCGGGACACGUGGUAUCCUGUCUGAAUAUGGGGGGACCAUCCUCCAAGGCUAAAUACUCCUGACUGACCGAUAGUGAACCAGUACCGUGAGGGAAAGGCGAAAAGAACCCCGGCGAGGGGAGUGAAAAAAGAACCUGAAACCGUGUACGUACAAGCAGUGGGAGCACAGGUUUACCUGUGUGACUGCGUACCUUUUGUAUAAUGGGUCAGCGACUUAUAUUCUGUAGCAAGGUUAACCGUAUAGGGGAGCCGUAGGGAAACCGAGUCUUAACCGGGCGUUAAGUUGCAGGGUAUAGACCCGAAACCCGGUGAUCUAGCCAUGGGCAGGUUGAAGGUUGGGUAACACUAACUGGAGGACCGAACCGACUAAUGUUGAAAAAUUAGCGGAUGACCUGUGGCUGGGGUGAAAGGCCAAUCAAACCGGGAGAUAGCUGGUUCUCCCCGAAAGCUAUUUAGGUAGCGCCUCGUGAAUUCAUCUCCGGGGUAGAGCACUGUUUCGGCUAGGCGGCCAUCCCGGCUUACCAACCCGAUGCAAACUGCGAAUACCGGAGAAUGUUAUCACGGGAGACACACGGCGGGUGCUAACGUCCGUCGUGAAGAGGGAAACAACCCAGACCGCCAGCUAAGGUCCCAAAGUCAUGGUUAAGUGGGAAACGAUGUGGGAAGGCCAAGACAGCCAUGAUCUUGGCAUAGAAGAAGCCAUCAUUUAAAACAAAGAGUAAUAGCUCACUGGUCGAGUCGGCCUGCGCGGAAGAUGUAACGGGGCUAAACCAUGCACCGAAGCUGCGGCAGCGAACGUAUCACCCAAGACAACUUUACGGAGUUGACGAUUGACGGAGCGAAGCGACGUCAAAGCGUUCAUUAAAGUCGAGUUGGCUUAGGGAUACGUUCGUUGGGUAGGGGAGCGUUCUGUAAGCCUGUGAAGGUGUGUCGUGAGGCAUGCUGGAGGUAUCAGAAGUGCGAAUGCUGACAUAAGUAACGAUAAAGCGGGUGAAAAGCCCGCUCGCCGGAAGACCAAGGGUUCCUGUCCAACGUUAAUCGGGGCAGGGUGAGUCGACCCCUAAGGCGAGGCCGAAAGGCGUAGUCGAUGGGAAACGGGUUAAUAUUCCCGUACUUGGUGUUACUGCGAAGGGGGGACGGAGAAGGCUAUGUUGGCCGGGCGACGGUUGUCCCGGUUUAAGCGUGUAGGUGUGUGUUCCAGGUAAAUCCGGUUCACUUUAACACUGAGGCGUGACGACGAGGCACUACGGUGCUGAAGCAACAAAUGCCCUGCUUCCAGGAAAAGCCUCUAAGCAUCAGGUAACACGAAAUCGUACCCCAAACCGACACAGGUGGUCAGGUAGAGAAAAACUCGGGUGAAGGAACUAGGCAUAAUGGUGCCGUAACUGCGGGAGAAGGCACGCUGACACGUAGGUGAAGUGAUUUACUCAUGGAGCUGAAGUCAGUCGAAGAUACCAGCUGGCUGCAACUGUUUAUUAAAACACAGCACUGUGCAAACACGAAAGUGGACGUAUACGGUGUGACGCCUGCCCGGUGCCGGAAGGUUAAUUGAUGGGGUCAGCGCAAGCGAAGCUCCUGAUCGAAGCCCCGGUAAACGGCGGCCGUAACUAUAACGGUCCUAAGGUAGCGAAAUUCCUUGUCGGGUAAGUUCCGACCUGCACGAAUGGCGUAAUGAUGGCCGUGCUGUCUCCACCCGAGACUCAGUGAAAUUGAACUCGCUGUGAAGAUGCAGUGUACCCGCGGCAAGACGGAAAGACCCCGUGAACCUUUACUAUAGCUUGACACUGAACAUUGAGCCUUGAUGUGUAGGAUAGGUGGGAGGCUUUGAAGUGUGGACGCCAGUCUGCAUGGAGCCGACCUUGAAAUACCACCCUUUAAUGUUUGAUGUUCUAACGUGGACCCGUAAUCCGGGUUGCGGACAGUGUCUGGUGGGUAGUUUGACUGGGGCGGUCUCCUCCUAAAGAGUAACGGAGGAGCACGAAGGUUGGCUAAUCCUUGUCGGACAUCAGGAGGUUAGUGCAAUGGCAUAAGCCAGCUUGACUGCGAGCGUGACGGCGCGAGCAGGUGCGAAAGCAGGUCAUAGUGAUCCGGUGGUUCUGAAUGGAAGGGCCAUCGCUCAACGGAUAAAAGGUACUCCGGGGAUAACAGGCUGAUACCGCCCAAGAGUUCAUAUCGACGGCGGUGUUUGGCACCUCGAUGUCGGCUCAUCACAUCCUGGGGCUGAAGUAGGUCCCAAGGGUAUGGCUGUUCGCCAUUUAAAGUGGUACGCGAGCUGGGUUUAGAACGUCGUGAGACAGUUCGGUCCCUAUCUGCCGUGGGCGCUGGAGAACUGAGGGGGGCUGCUCCUAGUACGAGAGGACCGGAGUGGACGCAUCACUGGUGUUCGGGUUGUCAUGCCAAUGGCACUGCCCGGUAGCUAAAUGCGGAAGAGAUAAGUGCUGAAAGCAUCUAAGCACGAAACUUGCCCCGAGAUGAGUUCUCCCUGAGACUUAGAGUCUCCUGAAGGAACGUUGAAGACGACGACGUUGAUAGGCCGGGUGUGUAAGCGCAGCGAUGCGUUGAGCUAACCGGUACUAAUGAACCGUGAGGCUUAACCUUACAACGCCGAAG
rnacentral:rRNA from 1 species